UACACUCCUACGGGAGGCAGCAGUGGGGAAUUUUGGACAAUGGGCGAAAGCCUGAUCCAGCAAUGCCGCGUGUGUGAAGAAGGCCUUCGGGUUGUAAAGCACUUUUGUCCGGAAAGAAAUCCUUGGCUCUAAUACAGUCGGGGGAUGACGGUACCGGAAGAAUAAGCACCGGCUAACUACGUGCCAGCAGCCGCGGUAAUACGUAGGGUGCGAGCGUUAAUCGGAAUUACUGGGCGUAAAGCGUGCGCAGGCGGUUUGCUAAGACCGAUGUGAAAUCCCCGGGCUCAACCUGGGAACUGCAUUGGUGACUGGCAGGCUAGAGUAUGGCAGAGGGGGGUAGAAUUCCACGUGUAGCAGUGAAAUGCGUAGAGAUGUGGAGGAAUACCGAUGGCGAAGGCAGCCCCCUGGGCCAAUACUGACGCUCAUGCACGAAAGCGUGGGGAGCAAACAGGAUUAGAAACCCCAGUAGUCCCAUG
rnacentral:rRNA from 1 species